AUUUUCGAUUACCGAACGGGUAACCAAACUCCGAUCGGUGAGUGAAACCUUGGUCCCCACUAGGCCACCGCCGUCGACGAAGACCUAGCUCCGGUGCCAUGGCCGCCGCCCACGCGGGCCGCCGCCGCGAGGCGCACCUCCUCCUGACCUGGUCGUCUCUGGCCACUAUCUGGACACGGGGCCGCCACGGGCUGAAGCGGCACCGCCGGAAGCACGAGAUCCACUCGCCCGAUCAAGAUGGUAGGGGGGGUGGUGGUGGUGAUGGAGAACCGCAGCUUCGACCACAUCCUCGGCUGGAUCCGCCGCACCCGCCCCGACAUCGAUGGCCUCACCGGCAAGGAGUCCAAUCACCUCAAGACCUCCGACCCAUCAUCCCCGGAGAUAUUCGUCACCGACGAUCCGGAUCCAUGUUUGUGCACUUGGGGCACAGAUCAGGCACCUUGUCUGAAUUAGUAAUUUUUUCUGUGAUUUGUGAGUACUUGUGUUCUUCCACAAACUGAUAAAUUUCGUGUUUCCGAAUUCCUCCGGCCAUCUUUCCCGGCAUUCUUGGUGCUAGGGAGAUGCGCGGUACAGGCGCCAUAACACAGUGUCGACGUCGCCGCCCUAGUCGAUGCAGGACGCCGCCUCGAUCCGAACACGCUCCGCCUCCAUCCCCGCCUCGAUCCGCCUAUUCCCCACCCGCCGGACGCCGCCUCGAUCCGAACACGCUCCGCCUCCACCCCCGCCUCGAUCCGCCUAUUCCGCACCCGCCGGGCGCCGCCUCGAUCCGAUCUUCAGGAUGCUGCCUCGAUCCGAACACGGCCCGCCUUGAUCUCCGGCUCGGUGUAGCACCAAGCGGCGAGCACCUUGUGCGAGGCGCGCAUCACGGAGAUUGAUAUUACGCACAAUGUUGGACAUCUUCUAUCAACAAUGAUGAGAAGAAGCUACCCGAUGGCAGCGAAGUGCAAGCUGGCUUGGAGUUGCUGUACCGUGGGGCUCGGAUUUCGCUUGGCUGCUCAAUCGGAUGGCCCGGUUAAUCGUGACAAAGCCAGUGCACAAGUAGGGGCUCAGGUUGGUGAAGUUGUGGCGAGCAGUCUGAAGGGUGGACUGCUCAAAGUAGUCGGAUGGAUGAAUGAGGGCACCAGCAAAACCCUGGGUGGGGCACAAAAGGCGCCGGGGUAGGCUGCCAGCGAUGAUCAGAGACAGACGCUGCAGCGGCCCAUCGACUAUGCAGGUCAACUAAAAGGACAAAAAUACUCCUGCUCAUCUCAGACUGAGCCAAAUCGACUCCAGAUCGACACUCUGGCCCGUGUUCAUCCUCUCCGCCCCGCCUCCCCCCGCCUCUCCCUGGCACCCCGCCUUUCCCCGCCCCUCCCUGGCGGCCUGGCGGUCCUCCCAGGGUCAGCUGCUGCUGCUACAAGUACUAGGAUGAUUUCAUCGGCGCAACAUGGCUGCUACAAGUGGUGGGAGGUGAAGUAUGGCCAGUUCUUCAACCUUGUUCCUACCUGUCCGAGAGGGCAGCAGCAGGAGUUCCUCUGAGUGCACCGGCGGACCAGGCCAAGGCUCGGCUUUGAGUUAUAUCAUGGUAGCAUCUUGUGUUCCAGGCUGAGAGAGCAACAUUCUUCACUCGUCUUCUCUUUAUCUACCAAACGAGAGCUACUAUGAGAAUCAACCCCAAAUAUGAAUAAUCCAAUGUCAACCUGCACUUACAAUACAAAUCCAGUUGCAAAGAAAGACUCGCCCUAUCAAAGUUCAGGAUGUUUCUUCUUCUGCUGCACUUUUUUAGGGGUGGGACCAGGGAUAUGCGAGCUAACAAACCGCAACAAGGCACAAACAAUUGGGUACAAUCGCAUCAUGCUUGAUUAUCGCAUUUGGUCUAUUCCAGCACUUACGAGCUUGUGAAUCUUCUGCAUAGCUUCUGGGUUCUUCAGGUGAUCCUGAGCAGCCCUGGGGUUGGAUUGCUAAGGCUUUCAACUCGAUCCGCUGGGAAUACCUUCUUACCCUACUUUGAGAGGCCAGCGCCCAGAGUUGCAUAUCUCUAUAUAGGCUGAUGACGCAGUGGCUUUUGUGUCUCCAACGACGAAGGAUGUCUCGGUUCUCGCUGCGAUCCUUAAUUCCUUUGGGGAAGCAACCAGCCUCAAAACCAACUUCGCCAAAACAUUGGCCACCAAGAUAAGAUGCUUCGAGAUUAAAAUGGACGAGAUCCUAGCUGACCUCCUCGUUGCCCAUGUCGACUUCCCCAUCACUUACCUUGGCCUCCUGCUCUCCACAAAGCGCCUAAAAAAUCCGAUCUUCAACCUUUGGUGGGCAGAACUACAACCAAAAUGGCCACAUGGCAGGGCAAACUGGCCGUUUAACCCUGGUCAAAUUGGUGCCCUUCUCAUAGCCUGUCUACUUCCUCGCGGGUAUUAGGGCACCCAAAUGAACUCUAAAGGAAAUCGAUUUGGCUAGGCAUCAGUUUCUCUGGUCCGGCUGUCAGCGGCUAACCAGGGGUAGUUGCAAAGUCAACUGGGAUCGCGUCAGUAGGCUGAAAAGCAAGGGCGGCCUAGGCGUUCUGCACCUACAAGCUUUUGGCAGAGCGCCAAGGCAGCGAUGGUUGUGGCAUGAGUGGAAAUCGCCACAAAAGCUAUAGUUGGGUCCGAGAUUCCUUGUGACAAUUUUGGCAGGCUUAUUUUUGCGACGUCUACUGAGAUUAUGAUUGGGGAUGGUAACUCCAUCUCAUUUUGGCACUCUUUCUGGGCUGGCGGUCGUAGGCCUAUUGAUUUUGCCCCACCCCCUCAUCUACAAGGCGUGCAGGGCAAAGCGACGGAACCUGCGUGAGGUCUUCGGAGAUAACUCCUAGCUCCAUGACAUUGACUUUCGUCAAAUGACAUCGCACCAACACAUUCACCAGGUUGUUCUCCUAUGGCAGGCUACGCAUGGUGUGUCUUUACACCCUCAGUCUCCCGAUGACAUCUUAUGGAAGAUGGAUGCGCGGCAGGUGUACUCCACGUCUUUGGCCUGCAAGAUGCGAUUUUGGCGAUCCACGGACACCAACUUUGCCAUCAUCUUCUGCCAGAUUGAACACAC